rnacentral:ncRNA from 2 species
CGAGCCACCUCGGGGUGCGUAGUCAACUGCGCUGAGAUGCCAUCUGGCGAACCCGCUGAACCUGAACCGGAUCAUACCGGCGGAGGGAAGGUUUCGGAUCCAAAG